rnacentral:rRNA from 1 species
GAUGAACGCUAGCUACAGGCUUAACACAUGCAAGUCGAGGGGUAACGAGAGGGAAGCUUGCUUUCCUUGUCGACGACCGGCGCACGGGUGAGUAACGCGUAUCCAACCUGCCCCCAACUAGGGAAUAACCUUGCGAAAGUAAGACUAAUACCCUAUACUUUCCUCAGAUGUCAUCUGACGAGGAAUAAAGAUUUAUCGGUUGUGGAUGGGGAUGCGUCUGAUUAGCUUGUUGGCGGGGUAACGGCCCACCAAGGCAACGAUCAGUAGGGGUUCUGAGAGGAAGGGCCACCACAUUGGAACUGAGACACGGUCCAAACUCCUACGGGAGGCAGCAGUGAGGAAUAUUGGUCAAUGGGCGGAAGCCUGAACCAGCCAAGUAGCGUGCAGGAUGACGGCCCUAUGGGUUGUAAACUGCUUUUAUACAGGAAUAAAGUUAGCCACGUGUGGUUAUUUGUAGGUACUGUAUGAAUAAGGACCGGCUAAUUCCGUGCCAGCCGCCGCGGUAA